rnacentral:rRNA from 1 species
UACGUAGGGGGCAAGCGUUGUCCGGAAUUAUUGGGCGUAAAGGGCGCGUAGGCGGCUUGAUGUGUCAAAGGUGAAAUCCCUCGGCUCAACUGAGGAACUGCCUUUGAAACUGUCUGGCUUGAGGCCGGGAGAGGGUAGCGGAAUUCCCAGUGUAGCGGUGAAAUGCGUAGAUACUGGGAGGAACACCGGUGGCGAAGGCGGCUACCUGGACCGGUUCUGACGCUGAUGCGCGAAAGCGUGGGUAGCAAACAGG